AUGGCGGACCUCGUCCCGCUGAAUAAUAAUCCGUACGACGGCGGCGGCGGCGAGGCCGAGGCCGUGGUGGCGGAGCCUGAGGAGCGGAGCAGGCUUAGCUCAUCUGCGCGGUGGGUCUCUACUACCUUGUCUUCCGCGCCUUCUCCAACCUGCUGCUCACCGGCCGGCGGUUUCCACCGCCACGGCAUAAUCGUAUAUAACAAACCGAGGGUAGCUUGUGUAUACAAAAAAGAUCACCCAUGGCACGGCGUCUCACCUGGUGGUGAAGCUACACAUAGACGGAGCGGCUUGCCCUUGUUCGCGUCACCAUUGAGGCGCAGCGGAGCUACGUGUGGAGCUGGCGACCCAACACGUGGCGUAGUUGUUGCUCCAUCAAUGUGGGGGAAUUUUUUGAAGCGUAAACACCGAGAAGAUGAUGAGUUAGCCAUCAUCGAAGCCGUAUACAAAGGCGAGAGAGGUUCAAGCAAUCGCCAACGUAUUCACACUUCCAUCCUUACGGGGCAUGAGUACCUCAUGCAGUUGCCACCAGUUAAUGUUCCUUUGAAGGUUUCAAGCAACCCUAAAUUUAUGCCGUACUUUCAGGAUUGUAUCGGAGCAAUUGAUGGGACGCAUGUUCCAAUUAGCAUAUCUCCAAGACUACAAGACCCAUAUCGCAAUAGAAAAGGAACAUUAUCACAAAAUGUCAUGGUGGCAUGUAAUUUUGAUAAUCAAUUCGUCCAUGUUAGUGCGGGCUGGGAAGGUUCAGCUUCUGAUGCUCGAGUGCUACAAGAUGCACUAGAAAAUAAUUUCUAUGUGCCAGAGGGAAAAUUUUAUUUGGUUGAUGCAGGAUAUGCAAAUACACCUAAUUUUAUUGCACCCUACCGAAAUGUCAGGUACCAUUUGAACGAGCAAGCCAAAUGCAACCAAAGGCCACAAAAUGCUAAAGAGCUAUUCAAUCUCAGGCAUGCACAACUCCGUAAUCACAUCGAGCGCAUCAUUGGCGUUGUGAAGCAGCGUUUCCCGGUAUUGAAGUGUGCUUCACAUUACCCAAUUGAAUCUCAACCUGAUAUUGUCAUAGCAUGUUGUGCACUUCAUAACUUUAUUCGCAAUCACGAGGGGGGCGAACAAUGGUUUGACCAGGUUGGCUCCAAUAUUGACCCAAUACAUAUAGUUGAUAUUCCAAGUGGGGAUGCAAAAUACAGAAGUGAUGUACAGUCUCUCAAUGAGCGGCGUGCAUUGGGUCAUUCAAAAAGAGAUCAAAUUGCUGAAUCAAUGUGGAAAGACUACUGUGAGUAUCUCCAGGAGCGUGCUAGAAGAAAUAGCACAUGA
rnacentral:rRNA from 1 species